GUGCCAGCCGCCGCGGUAAUACAGAGGGCGCUAGCGUUGUUCGGAAUCACUGGGCGUAAAGAGCAUGUAGGCGGCAUGGCAAGUCAGAUGUGAAAUCCCGGAGCUUAACUCCGGAACUGCAUUUGAAACUGCCAAGCUAGAGUAAAGUAGAGGCUGGCGGAAUUCCUAGUGUAGAGGUGAAAUUCGUAGAUAUUAGGAAGAACACCGGUGGCGAAGGCGGCCAGCUGGGCUUUUACUGACGCUAAAGUGCGAAAGCGUGGGGAGCAAACAGGAUUAGAAACCCCAGUAGUCC
rnacentral:rRNA from 1 species